GAGGGUAUAUCUCUGUGGUAGAGUGCGUGCUUGGGAUGCACGAGGUCCUGGGUUCAAUCCCCAGUGCCUCUG
rnacentral:tRNA from 1 species